rnacentral:lncRNA from 1 species
UCUAUCUCUAUCUAUCUAUCUAUCUCUAUCUAUCUAUCUCUAUCUAUCUAUCUCUAUCUAUCUAUCUCUAUCUAUCUAUCUCUAUCUAUCUCUAUCUCUAUCUAUCUAUCUCUAUCUAUCUAUCUCUAUCUAUCUAUCUCUAUCUAUCUAUCUCUAUCUAUCUAUCUCUAUCUCUAUCUAUCUCUAUCUAUCUCUAUCUAUCUAUCUCUAUCUAUCUAUCUCUAUC